AAGUGGAACAUUCUGGAACUGGCGCUGUCAGGGGAAUGCCUUUGUUUGAAUUUCAUAUUUUGAAACGUGACAGGCAAGAGUGCCUUGCGCAUUCGACAGGGAAAAGCCAAACAAAAAGUAUGAUUGACAGCCAACUGGACCUGAUGAAAAAAUAGCUCCUGGUCCCAUACUGGUAACAGAUAGUGAAUUUCACUGCCUCAAACAUUGGGAUGCAAAUUCAGCCUUCUCAGCUCUGGCCGGACACAUUCUAUCACAUAGAAACGAGCAUUAAUUAAAGGAGAGGACCAGA